AAACUUUCAACAACGGAUCUCUUGGCUCUGGCAUCGAUGAAGAACGCAGCGAAAUGCGAUAAGUAAUGUGAAUUGCAGAAUUCAGUGAAUCAUCGAAUCUUUGAACGCACAUUGCGCCCCCUGGUAUUCCGGGGGGCAUGCCUGUUCGAGCGUCAUU
rnacentral:rRNA from 1 species